UGAGGAAUCUUGCGCAAUGGGGGAAACCCUGACGCAGCAACGCCGCGUGAGUGAGGAAGGUCUUCGGAUCGUAAAGCUCUGUCAGUUGGAAAGAAAUGUCUGAGAGUCAAUACCUUUCAGGCUUGACGGUACCAACAGAGGAAGCACCGGCUAACUCCGUGCCAGCAGCCGCGGUAAUACGGGGGGUGCAAGCGUUGUUCGGAAUUAUUGGGCGUAAAGAGCGUGUAGGCGGCCGGAUAUGUCAGAUGUGAAAGCCCCGGGCUUAACCCGGGAAGUGCAUUUGAAACUGUCCGGCUCGAGUAGGGGAGAGGGAAGUGGAAUUCCUGGUGUAGAGGUGAAAUUCGUAGAUAUCAGGAGGAACACCGGUGGCGAAGGCGACUUCCUGGCCCUAUACUGACGCUGAGACGCGAGAGCGUGGGUAGCAAACAG
rnacentral:rRNA from 1 species